rnacentral:tRNA from 1 species
GCCUGGGUGGCUUAGCUGGUUAAGCGUCUGACUUCAGCUCAGGUCAUGAUCUCAGGCU